ACACACACAGUGCCCAUAAUGGAAGACAUAUAUAUGAUGGCGUCAUACUGAAGCACACACCAGGGUUUCAUCUUCUUCAGUCCUUGUAACUAUUUAAUCUUCAUGAUGUUUUCUAAAUGGCAUGAUUCCAAGCAGCAGGAGCAGGGGUGUAGCGAGGUCGGCACCGGUGGAGCUCAUGCUUAAGCAGUCCCGCCAUCGCUACUGCCAGUAGUUACACACUGUGCCUGUACAUGGCGGUUGCGAUGCAGAAGGCAGAAGAAUGGAUGCUCCCCAGUGCCCCCAGCACAAUAAAGUUUUGUUUGAUUUUUGGCACAGUGCGCCACGUCAUAACGUCUGUGUGCUGUGACUGAAGAACAGCCACGAGGAGCUCAGCAAUGCAGAAGAACCCGAGAACAGAGCAAGAGAGUCCUGACUGCCUUAAGGAGCAUCCUGAGAGAAAAUGCAGCUGCUACAGCAAGAAAGCCACAAUGACACCGAGAACUUGAUUCUUCAGCUCACACGUCCUUCUCCCUUCCUAGUGUCCAUGAUGUGCCAUCUGUCUUGCCUGUUAACCCUUGUCGUGUCUGUGUCCUGCUUUUGCUUGUAUUGACACACUGAAAUGUGGCAAGUCUGACAACCCAUUAUAGUUGUGACCUUUAUUUGA